rnacentral:rRNA from 1 species
UUGACCUCGGAUCAGGUAGGACUACCCGCUGAACUUAAGCAUAUCAAUAAGCGGAGGAAAAGAAACCAACAGGGAUUGCCCCAGUAACGGCGAGUGAAGCGGCAACAGCUCAGAUUUGGAAUCUGGCCCCCAGGGCCCGAGUUGUAAUCUGGAGAGGAUGCUUCUGGCGCGGCGCCUUCCGAGUUCCCUGGAACGGGACGCCGGAGAGGGUGAGAGCCCCGUACGGUUGGACGCCUAGCCUUUGUGAAGCUCCUUCGACGAGUCGAGUAGUUUGGGAAUGCUGCUCAAAAUGGGAGGUAAAUUUCUUCUAAAGCUAAAUACCGGCCAGAGACCGAUAGCGCACAAGUAGAGUGAUCGAAAGAUGAAAAGCACUUUGAAAAGAGGGUCAAACAGUACGUGAAAUUGUUGAAAGGGAAGCGCCCGUGGCCAGACUUGUGCCCCGCGGACCACCCGGCGCCCUCAGCGCCGGUGCACUCCGCGGGGCGCAGGCCAGCAUCGGUUUUCCCAGGGGGAUAAAGGCGGCGGGAACGUGGCUCCCUCGGGAGUGUUAUAGCCCGCCGCGCCAUGCCCCUGGGGGGACCGAGGACCGCG